AACGUUCUUUUACUUAAGCGUUAAAGAAAGUUUCCAAAGUGAUUCUAUUCACCACUGUAAGUUGUACUGAUAUAAGAGGACAUCACGGAGUGUGAGGUAGAAUGAACCCAUCAACCAAAUCACUGUCGAUAGGACCUUGAGACUCUACUACUCCUUUUACUCUCCAACGAAGCAACGAAUUGGCUCGAUCGAUUUUUCUCGCACCAUAUGAGAUGGACGAGAAUCGAUGAUAAAUCAUCAUCGAGAUUCGUAACAACAGCGAAGAACUUAAUUAUGAUCGAGCUGUGAGAAUUGAGAUUGUUCUACUGAUGUAUGUGAAGCAGUACUAUUCUCUAUCACUUGCAUACGGGGAUGUUAUCAGAAGGACCACUCACCGGAAUGCUCAGCAGAGGAAAGCUCGCUACCUUGUCGUCAACAAAGGCUGCUGUCAACAUGGGGGGAGUCGGCACGAGGCACCUAAUCGUCGGAGGAGAAUCCGACGGGGAUUUCGGGUGUCAAAUCGUUGCCAUGAUCUCCCAAGAGAACGUUUUUGUGACUGCAGAAUUGAGAUGGGCAGCGAGGAGACGCCGACGCCGACGCCGGUUUUGGCGGCACGUUUAUAGAGUUUAGGAGCUGUGAAUGGCUGGGAGAUCACGAGGACGAAGGUAUGAGGCGUGGGCUGUUUCAUCAAAGGUGUUCGACCUUUGAACAUGUGGCAGCCGAAUCCAGCGUUUGGUGAAUGACACCGAGAGGAGUUGAUGUUUUUGCUCCUUGCCGGUGCAAGGUCGGAUCCCAUGAUGGCACUGAUAUCUAGUUGUGAUGGGACCUAAUGGAUUGUUUACUAUGGAAUUAAUUCAUGAUUUUGAUGGCAUCGGAUUGGGAGAUCUUACCAUCUACGAUCUGGAUUGGUGAGACUGUCUGAUCCACCGCUGUCGUCUCUCUCGAGGCAGCAAAGGACGCUGUAAAUGCCACAGAAGAAAGCAUGAGGUGGGGGUGAAAUUGGCGAACGAGACAAGGGCAGUUGCUGCGGCAUCUUCCUCCUACAAGAAUACAAGCACGAGCGGCUUCCGCGAUGUCGUUGCCGGUUCUUGUUUGUUUGCUUCUUGGUGGUUUGGUUUCGGGCUUUUCUUGACUUUGAACUUGGACAUGGAGCAAGUCCCACCGCCCCACUCACGUAUCGGUCUCGAAAGAGACCGGUGUGAGAGUAAAUUAAGGGAGAGGGGAGAGGG
rnacentral:lncRNA from 1 species